GGCCCCAAUAUCAAAAUUAUACCUAUAAUAGAGGUCAGUCUGAUCAACCUAUCUAGCCAUAAUAUCACAAUCAGCCAUCAUACCCACCUCUUCAACAAAUCAAUCUAGCCGAUGAUAGGUUUACUCAACUUCAACAACUGAUUAUGACCUAAUAGCAAUCUAUCAUCUGGCUAGAAGCUGAAAUAGGAUAGUUAGCUAAGUCCACCAUGAGGAAAGAACCAGUCAAUUAUCAAGCCAAUCGAU
rnacentral:lncRNA from 1 species